AUACUUACCUGAACAUGGUCAAUGGGUGAUCAUUAAGGUACAUGGCCUAGGUUAAUGACCUUCAUUGCACUUUGGAGGGGUGAUCCCCUAAGGUCAGCCCAAGUGAUUGAGCCUACAUCAUAAUUUGUGGCAGAGGGGGCCAGCGUUCGUGUAGCCCCUAC